UAAUAUUAGAGCCAUCUGGCAUAGACACCUGCCACCUCAUUGACCUCCAGGUUGUCUUGGCUGCUCUACCUGGCACGGCAGGUACCUACAUCUUUCUUCACAACUCCAAGCUGGUCUUUCCACAUCUGCAGUUUCUGUGAAGGUGUCAAUCUUCCUACAUGGAAGAGAGUAUUUUUCAAUUAAGAAUAUACGAAGAUUGUGCUGUACACUAGAAAUUGACACAACAUUGUAAAAAUAAAUAAAAUAUAAAAUAAAAUAAAAUAAAAU
rfam:Camelus ferus unplaced genomic scaffold scaffold837, whole genome shotgun sequence.